UACGAAGGGGGCUAGCGUUGCUCGGAAUUACUGGGCGUAAAGGGUUCGUAGGUGGCCACCUAAGUCAGACGUGAAAUCCCUCAGCUUAACUGGGGAACUGCGUCUGAUACUGGGUGGCUUGAGUGCAGGAGAGGAAUGCGGAAUUCCAGGUGUAGCGGUGAAAUGCGUAGAUAUCUGGAGGAACACCGGUGGCGAAGGCGGCAUUCUGGACUGUAACUGACACUGAGGAACGAAAGCCAGGGGAGCAAACGGG
rnacentral:rRNA from 1 species